UACGGAGGGUGCAAGCGUUAUCCGGAUUCACUGGGUUUAAAGGGUGCGUAGGUGGGCAGGUAAGUCAGUGGUGAAAUCUCCGAGCUUAACUCGGAAACUGCCAUUGAUACUAUCUGUCUUGAAUUAUCUGGAGGUGAGCGGAAUAUGUCAUGUAGCGGUGAAAUGCUUAGAUAUGACAUAGAACACCAAUUGCGAAGGCAGCUCACUACGGAUAUAUUGACACUGAGGCACGGAA
rnacentral:rRNA from 1 species